UACGUAGGGGGCUAGCGUUGCUCGGAAUGACUGGGCGUAAAGGGCGCGUAGGCGGUAUGCUUUGUCGGGCGUGAAAUUCCAGGGCUUAACCUUGGGGCUGCGUUCGAGACGGGUAUUCUAGGGUGGAGAAGAGGGUCGUGGAAUUCCCAGUGUAGAGGUGAAAUUCGUAGAUAUUGGGAAGAACACCGGUGGCGAAGGCGGCGACCUGGUCUUUUACUGACGCUGAGGCGCGAAAGCGUGGGGAGCAAACAGG
rnacentral:rRNA from 1 species